CACGCCAUAAACGAUGAAUGCUAGGUAUUGGGGUUACUCAGUGCCGACGUAAACACAAUAAGCAUUCCGCCUGGGGAGUACGUGCGCAAGCAUGAAACUCAAAGGAAUUGACGGGGACCCGCACAAGCAGCGGAGCAUGUGGUUUAAUUCGAUGCAACGCGAAGAACCUUACCAGGGCUUGACAUAUAUGCGCUAGCACUAGAGAUAGUGGGUUCUCUUCGGAGACGUAUAUACAGGUGG
rnacentral:rRNA from 1 species